AAGACUAUAGACCUGCGGAGUACCUGCGGAAGGAUCAUUACCGAGUUAUACAACUCCCAAACCCACUGUGAACCUUACCUCAGUUGCCUCGGCGGGAACGCCCCGGCCGCCUGCCCCCGCGCCGGCGCCGGACCCAGGCGCCCGCCGCAGGGACCCCAAACUCUCUUGCAUUACGCCCAGCGGGCGGAAUUUCUUCUCUGAGUUGCACAAGCAAAAACAAAUGAAUCAAAACUUUUAACA
rnacentral:misc_RNA from 1 species